ACACGAUUCAAAAAAUACACGCCAAGUAUAAACACAGCGAAGGGAACAAUAAAAACACCCAAAAAUCCAACAGCGAUGUGAUUCAUACGCGCAUACGUCACCUCCGGCAGACACAACUUCAAUUGCACGCAGAUUUUGAUCACGAAAAUGGUGCUGGUGAUGUAACAUCCGUGUUUGAUCUCGAUACAGCCGCAACACGGCCGGAACACGCAAUUUCCCGGCGCCAUGUUGAAAAUUUCUCGUGUUUAAAAUGUUAUUUUAUUUGAUAAUGUCCAUUUGGUUGUGGGGAUCGAUAUAUCUAUUCGCGUUUUAUGAUCAGAAUCGCGGGGAAGCGGAAUAAUAACCAAGAAAACUGUCAAAAAAAAAUCACGAUGAAGAUGAGUCAAUGCCCCAAGUUCACUGCAACCCCAAGGACCUCCACGUUGAAUGGUAUCCCAGUGUUGGUCCAUGCUAAGAUAACUGUACGGAUCGUUGGCAUCCGAAGAACUGUUACCUCCGCUGGUGUUACCAGGAUAUGUCUCUAGACAAUGCCGCAAUUGUUUCUCCAAUUUACCCAGAGACUCCGUACAUAACCCCCACUAUGCAAUAAAAUUCAAUAUUUUACAUUUUUAUUAACAUAACCUCAAAAUUA